AAUCUGCGAUAAGCGCCGGUAAGGUGAUAUGAACCGUUAUAACCGGCGAUACCCGAAUGGGGAAACCCAGUGUGACUCGUCACACUAUCAUUAACUGAAUCCAUAGGUUAAUGAGGCGAACCGGGGGAACUGAAACAUCUAAGUACCCCGAGGAAAAGAAAUCAACCGAGAUUCCCCCAGUAGCGGCGAGCGAACGGGGAGGAGCCCAGAGCCUGAAUCAGCAUGUGUGUUAGUGGAAGCGUCUGGAAAGGCGCGCGAUACAGGGUGACAGCCCCGUACACAAAAGCGCAUGUGCUGUGAGCUCGAUGAGUAGGGCGGGACACGUGGUAUCCUGUCUGAAUAUGGGGGGACCAUCCUCCAAGGCUAAAUACUCCUGACUGACCGAUAGUGAACCAGUACCGUGAGGGAAAGGCGAAAAGAACCCCGGCGAGGGGAGUGAAAAAGAACCUGAAACCGUGUACGUACAAGCAGUGGGAGCACAGGUUUACCUGUGUGACUGCGUACCUUUUGUAUAAUGGGUCAGCGACUUAUAUUCUGUAGCAAGGUUAACCGAAUAGGGGAGCCGGAGGGAAACCGAGUCUUAAUUGGGCGUUAAGUUGCAGGGUAUAGACCCGAAACCCGGUGAUCUAGCCAUGGGCAGGUUGAAGGUUGGGUAACACUAACUGGAGGACCGAACCGACUAAUGUUGAAAAAUUAGCGGAUGACCUGUGGCUGGGGGUGAAAGGCCAAUCAAACCGGGAGAUAGCUGGUUCUCCCCGAAAGCUAUUUAGGUAGCGCCUCGUGAAUUCAUCUCCGGGGGUAGAGCACUGUUUCGGCUAGGGGGCCAUCCCGGCUUACCAACCCGAUGCAAACUGCGAAUACCGGAGAAUGUUAUCACGGGAGACACACGGCGGGUGCUAACGUCCGUCGUGAAGAGGGAAACAACCCAGACCGCCAGCUAAGGUCCCAAAGUCAUGGUUAAGUGGGAAACGAUGUGGGAAGGCCCAGACAGCCAGGAUGUUGGCUUAGAAGCAGCCAUCAUUUAAAGAAAGCGUAAUAGCUCACUGGUCGAGUCGGCCUGCGCGGAAGAUGUAACGGGGCUAAACCAUGCACCGAAGCUGCGGCAGCGACGCUGAUGCGUUGUUGGGUAGGGGAGCGUUCUGUAAGCCUGCGAAGGUGGCCUGUGAGGGUUGCUGGAGGUAUCAGAAGUGCGAAUGCUGACAUAAGUAACGAUAAAGCGGGUGAAAAGCCCGCUCGCCGGAAGACCAAGGGUUCCUGUCCAACGUUAAUCGGGGCAGGGUGAGUCGACCCCUAAGGCGAGGCCGAAAGGCGUAGUCGAUGGGAAACGGGUUAAUAUUCCCGUACUUGGUGUUACUGCGAAGGGGGGACGGAGAAGGCUAUGUUGGCCGGGCGACGGUUGUCCCGGUUUAAGCGUGUAGGCUGGUUUUCCAGGCAAAUCCGGAAAAUCAAGGCUGAGGCGUGACGACGAGGCACUACGGUGCUGAAGCAACAAAUGCCCUGCUUCCAGGAAAAGCCUCUAAGCAUCAGGUAACAUCAAAUCGUACCCCAAACCGACACAGGUGGUCAGGUAGAGAAUACCAAGGCGCUUGAGAGAACUCGGGUGAAGGAACUAGGCAAAAUGGUGCCGUAACUUCGGGAGAAGGCACGCUGACACGUAGGUGAAGUGAUUUACUCACGGAGCUGAAGUCAGUCGAAGAUACCAGCUGGCUGCAACUGUUUAUUAAAAACACAGCACUGUGCAAACACGAAAGUGGACGUAUACGGUGUGACGCCUGCCCGGUGCCGGAAGGUUAAUUGAUGGGGUCAGCGCAAGCGAAGCUCCUGAUCGAAGCCCCGGUAAACGGCGGCCGUAACUAUAACGGUCCUAAGGUAGCGAAAUUCCUUGUCGGGUAAGUUCCGACCUGCACGAAUGGCGUAAUGAUGGCCAGGCUGUCUCCACCCGAGACUCAGUGAAAUUGAACUCGCUGUGAAGAUGCAGUGUACCCGCGGCAAGACGGAAAGACCCCGUGAACCUUUACUAUAGCUUGACACUGAACAUUGAGCCUUGAUGUGUAGGAUAGGUGGGAGGCUUUGAAGUGUGGACGCCAGUCUGCAUGGAGCCGACCUUGAAAUACCACCCUUUAAUGUUUGAUGUUCUAACGUGGACCCGUGAUCCGGGUUGCGGACAGUGUCUGGUGGGUAGUUUGACUGGGGCGGUCUCCUCCUAAAGAGUAACGGAGGAGCACGAAGGUUGGCUAAUCCUGGUCGGACAUCAGGAGGUUAGUGCAAUGGCAUAAGCCAGCUUGACUGCGAGCGUGACGGCGCGAGCAGGUGCGAAAGCAGGUCAUAGUGAUCCGGUGGUUCUGAAUGGAAGGGCCAUCGCUCAACGGAUAAAAGGUACUCCGGGGAUAACAGGCUGAUACCGCCCAAGAGUUCAUAUCGACGGCGGUGUUUGGCACCUCGAUGUCGGCUCAUCACAUCCUGGGGCUGAAGUAGGUCCCAAGGGUAUGGCUGUUCGCCAUUUAAAGUGGUACGCGAGCUGGGUUUAGAACGUCGUGAGACAGUUCGGUCCCUAUCUGCCGUGGGCGCUGGAGAACUGAGGGGGGCUGCUCCUAGUACGAGAGGACCGGAGUGGACGCAUCACUGGUGUUCGGGUUGUCAUGCCAAUGGCACUGCCCGGUAGCUAAAUGCGGAAGAGAUAAGUGCUGAAAGCAUCUAAGCACGAAACUUGCCCCGA
rnacentral:rRNA from 1 species